rnacentral:tRNA from 1 species
ACCUCGUUAGCUCAGCAGGAAUUCAGAGCGCCGGUCUACGAAGCCGGAGGUCGCACGUUCGAAUCGUGCACGAGGUGCCA